rnacentral:rRNA from 1 species
UGGGGAAUUUUGGACAAUGGGCGAAAGCCUGAUCCAGCAAUGCCGCGUGCAGGAAGAAGGCCUUCGGGUUGUAAACUGCCUUUGUACGGAACGAAAAGGCUCUUUCUAAUAAAGAGGGCCCAUGACGGUACCGUAAGAAUAAGCACCGGCUAACUACGUGCCAGCAGCCGCGGUAAUACGUAGGGUGCGAGCGUUAAUCGGAAUUACUGGGCGUAAAGCGUGCGCAGGCGGUUCUAUAAGACAGAUGUGAAAUCCCCGGGCUCAACCUGGGAAUGGCAUUUGUGACUGUAGAGCUAGAGUACGGUAGAGGGGGAUGGAAUUCCGCGUGUAGCAGUGAAAUGCGUAGAUAUGCGGAGGAACACCGAUGGCGAAGGCAAUCCCCUGGACCUGUACUGACGCUCAUGCACGAAAGCGUGGGGAGCAAACAGGAUUAGAUACCCCCGUAGUCCCUGAGCGGGCUGGCAAGGCGCAU